UAAUGCUCGAGCGUCCGCAAUCGUGGCAGGUGGCACAUAAUCGUGGCCUCGUAACCCUCGAACGAGUUAAUCCGUGAGGCGUCGCGGCGCGUCGCGACGCGACGCUUCCAACCACCAACCGUCAUUGUAGUCGUGGCUGGUGAGAUCGUCGAGUUAGAGGCGACGCGACGUUUAAAAGUAGCUAUAGCAAGUCUGAUCCGCUUACCGGGUUUAAAAGUCGAGUGCUAACAGCGCAAUUCAUCCCAUCAAGGAAAGAAGGGUCAGAGGAAAUCGGCCAUGAAAAAUUUCUGAGGAAAAAGGGAAGAAAGAAGUAGCUGGCACUGCUAGUGGACGAACGAAUAAAGCUAUUUACCGAAUUUACACUAUAUAGGUGGCAAUAUUAAGUAAUCUGGCGUAAAUAAUGACAAAGAUGAUAAGGAAGCGUUAAGCACUGUUCUUAACAGAUUAAUUUGUUCUGUAACACUGGGACAUAAGUAAAUUACUCCAUAACUUACAGCGAUGGUAAAUUUACAGCCAUGAAUAUAAUCUUCAAAGUUACACGAUUUAUCACUAUUCCAGAAUUUAUGUGGUAAAGAUAUUCUGGGAAAACUUGUCAAUCAGAGACAGAGAGAAUUAACGUGAAAUCUUCUCGUGCCACUUAGUCGGUACGAAUACUACUCGAUUAAGCAGUUUGCCAAGUCGCACAACAGUUCGAUGUGAGAGAAGCUUAAACUUGGAGUUGAUGACACCUGUAUUGCUACCGUGAGACAGAGACUAAGAAACAGAGGUACGAAUAGAGGAUGGCUGAAUUUGCUAGGUAUCAGUCAUGGUGUCCGAACUAAGAUGCAAUAAGAAUGGUGUGAAAUAAAUAUAUUCAACAUUCCAAGGAGUUUCCCUCGAUCGUUCUGUCAGCUCUAAUGAACUCAUCGACGACGUGUCUCUGACUGAAUGAAUGAAUUUCGUGCGUGUCUCUUACGAGCGAUGUCGGAAUGUCGUAAUGGAAGCUGCCAGCGGAAUAUCAGAGCGAGAGUGCGGUUGGAACGACGAAGCCUCCUCGAGGACCCUCGAAACGAGAGUUUUGAAUAUUUCCCUGACUGAUCAACGUUUCGUUCAGCUUGGUAAAAAGCACUCCGCAUGGAACAAAAUAUUCAACGAGCAAGAAAAAUGUUCCGAAGGACAGUACGAAAAAAUGUUUAUCAGCCGGUUGCUUUGCAUACACGAAGGGAACCAUGACUGGUAGGGGGAGGCCGGAGCAUUGUGCGCAGAAUUUCCACGGGGGAGGAGAAUUCAUGGGGGCUCCAAGAUGUUUUUCCACGAACGCGAUAUUAGGAUUUCCAGUCUAGUUAAUGAAUCAAGGAAUCCUCUGAGAAAAUGCGGAAACAAUUCGCGGGAAGAUCAACGUUCACCAUUCAGCCUCCGCUAUUAACUUACCCUCGGCACGUAGACGAGCGUGGGGGUAAAAUAAAGAGAAGAGAAAAAAAAAUGAAGAACGACACGGAGUCGCGGUCGCCAUAAUUUAGCGUUGGUAUUACUACUGAAUUCCCGGUUACUUUAUCUCUAGCCGACGUUCUUUCUUCAAGAAUGUUUACGAUAAAGGGGUGAGAUCCUUUGUUUCUGCAUUUCCGACAUCGCUUUGAAAUUACUUUGCCGCCUUGGCCAAAUUCUCCUCCCCUUUUGUCCUUUUUCACCGUCUACUUAAAGUGUAUUUAAAACAAUACCGGUUAAUCGGCGAUGUUUUCAGAGAAUAGGAAUCCCGAGGACUCUUUCAAGGUAUAUCAUCCGAAAUGAAAUCAUAAAAACUACGCGAAAGAGACGGAUGAGGAGAAGAAGGAAGAUAGAUCUGGCCGUGACAAAAUCGGUGCCGUAAAAUGGCGGGCACAAUGAAAGAAUAAAAUCCUUUUCGUGGGGGUAAUUAGCGUGAGAAGCAUUAAGGAGACACGAGGCAAUUUCGAGGGACCAUUUUUCACGGUAAUCUAAGGCACUGCCGCCCACACCACCGCACCGGCUUGGAUCGGUGUCUUCAUUUCGCCUCACGUUCCGACGAUGAAAAUCGUCCAGAAUACCCGCCCCUCGGCGAAGGAUUAGGAACCGUGAACACAAUGGGGAAAUGGAAAAAAUCGUCCAGGAAAUGGUGGACCAUAGCUUGGGACGUCUUGGGACGUAAUUCGAUAAACAUUGUGCUAAUCGAUGCAAUUGCCGCUUUUAUGGACCGCCCGGAGUUUCGAUAGAAAUACCUGUAUAACCGGAGGACUCGUGAAUUCCGUCAAUUGUUCUGCGACUCGGUCAAGGCUGGUCGAGAAACGGGCGCAUAAAUUUCGUCUGAACGGCAUCAACCCGAGAACGAUUUUCAGCAUUAUCCAGGCAGGCGAAGGAUAAUCCGGAUUUGUGCAAUCGGGCCCUCAGCUGCAACGGUUCAGCAACCGGAUGUGCAAACCGGCUCGGAUAAUAACUAGCCGCUUAUCGGACACUUAAGACGAUUUCGCAACGCUACUUGAAGCGUCUUUGAAACGCCUGCAGAAAUCGGAAAUGAUCCCGAACCUCCUUCACGAGAUCUCCAAUUCGAUUCGAUUCGAUCAGCGACAACGUUUGUUAACGUUUCAAAAUUCUUUCGAAAUGAUACUCGAUGAAAUCGUAAAGUUUCUUUAACGAUCGUUUACGUAUUCAUCAACGGUACGUUGCGUUCCGCGGUGGGAAUUAAUCAUGAUUAUCAUGCGUAAUUAACGCGGCCGGGACGCAGUUUUGAAUUUAACAGAAAUUCGCUGAUGAAAGUCCACGAGAAAGUAUUGUUAAAAAUUUAAGCGAUGUUCGCGAGGCAAUUUCAAAUGUAAAUUAUGGUCAGUGACUGGGAAACGUGGCUGUGUUCCGCUCGUCGUUUCACAUAAAUCGCCUUGUCAACUAUCGUGUGCCAUUCUUCUUUUUCCUUAGAAAUAACUUUACUAUUCUUUGCUUUCCUCCCAUCAUUAUAUAUUUCAAUUUUGAACUAAAAUAGACUGAAAAUUAAAGAAAACAGUGCAGAAACGUUAACUACGUUCUCCAGCUUCUUCAACUAUACUUAAAGUUCUGGACGAACGUCUUAAAGGGAUAGAAUUAAUUUAUCUUAGAAAUUACGAUCAUCGUUCAGAUUAGAGCAGCUUAGAACUCGACAAAGAACGAACCAGGGCUCGUUAAACUUUCCAGCUUCUGCAACAUUAAUAUUUAUAAGAUAACCUAUGCAAACGGUCGUCUGGGAGCUCGUCGAGCCUUUGUUAAGCUCUAUUAAAAUAUGUGAUCAACCAACACUCGUCUCUUUGCGUUGUGCGUGCACCUCCCUGGCCAGAAGUUCUCUAGUCUCGAUGGAAUUAAUUACAAUUACAGCUCGUUCUUCAGUCUCCGUUGUUCGUCUCGCACCUGCCACCUUUGUAACCUGCGAAUAAAGAGUAAUUCGAUGAA